AAUAAGUUGUUCUGGACUUAUUAAAUAAACAUCUUAGGCUGAAAUAUUUAGUAAAGUCUUAUACUUGCAACAGUUAAUAACUGUAUCUCAACACUUUUAAAUUCAAGCAAAAGUAAAAAAACCAAAAAAAGCAAUCAACAUGCAUGAAGGCAAAAGUUUAUUGUCCACCUUCCUUAUCUUGGCCUUUUUAUUGGCCAUGUUAUACGUUUUGUACGCCAUGUUCUAAACAUGGACAACAUUCGGAAAUCAAUUUAUUUACGAUGACAACAAUUACAUUAAUUAGUUUAUAGGCGUUUUUAAAUUAGCAAAUAUUUGUGUGGCGAUAAUCAAGUGAAAAAAUCCCAUUUUCAAAAUGAAUGAAGCCACAAGUUUAUUCACCACCUUUCUCAUCCUUGCUCUUUUGUUGUCAUUCUUGUAUAUUUUCUACGAAAUGGCUUUCUAAAAGUUUCUAACGUUUUUUUUUAAAUUAAUUAAUUCAUUUUCAUAAUAACACAAAAUCUCUUGAAAUAAUGUUUUUAUUAUAACAACUACAACAAAAAAGUAACCGUUGCCUUUAUAUUGAACACACAAAAAAAAAUGAAAAUAUUCCAAAAAUAUUGCCGUAAAAUAUAAGAAGCAUAAGCAGCUAGUAUCGUAAUGGAUUUUAUUCUAACAACAAAAACACUAUUAGUUUCGUAAGGAGAAAAACAAAUUAAAGUUGACGUCAUGACAGUUGCAAUGAGAUGACUAAAGCCGAAUAAGCCAAAUAUUUAAAAGCUAAAUUUCUCCGCAAGUCUGCAGUCAACUUUAACUAUGUAGGACUUUUACUUUUUUUUUAUUAAAUUUACAUUUAAAUUAUGAAUAAUAGACUUUUUGUACAAGUCUUAUUAUUUGUUUUUUUAUUAGAAUUAGUCUAUAUAUAUUUAUGAAAUACAUCAAAACAAAUGCCUUUAGAAGUAAUUUUGUUUUGUUAAGAAAAAGAACUUGAAAAAACAACAUCAUAAAAAAAAGAAAUGUUUACAAAAAAUGGUAUCUGUAAAUUAACAUCUGAAAAUUUCUUUAAAUCGGUUUUAUAUAAAACAAAAUAAAAUUACCAACAAAAAUCUAUAAAA